GAAAGCGAGUCCGAACAGGGCGUUGAGUCGCUGGGUGUAGACCCGAAACCAGAUGAUCUAUCCAUGGCCAGGUUGAAGGUGCGGUAACACGUACUGGAGGACCGAACCCACUAACGUUGAAAAGUUAGGGGAUGAGCUGUGGAUAGGGGUGAAAGGCUAAACAAAUCUGGAAAUAGCUGGUUCUCUCCGAAAACUAUUUAGGUAGUGCCUCGUGUCUCACCUUCGGGGGUAGAGCACUGUCAUGGUUGGGGGGUCUAUUGCUGAUUACCCCGCCAUAGCAAACUCCGAAUACCGAAGAGUGCAAUCACGGGAGACAGACAUCGGGUGCUAACGUCCGGUGUCAAGAGGGAAACAACCCAGACCGCCAGCUAAGGUCCCCAAAUAUAGCUAAGUGGGAAACGAAGUGGGAAGGCUAAAACAGUCAGGAGGUUGGCUUAGAAGCAGCCACCCUUUAAAGAAAGCGUAAUAGCUCACUGAUCGAGUCGUCCUGCGCGGAAGAUGUAACGGGGCUAAGCUAUAUACCGAAGCUGCGGACGCNGAAGGCGUAGCGAAAGCGAGUCCGAACAGGGCGUUGAGUCGCUGGGUGUAGACCCGAAACCAGAUGAUCUAUCCAUGGCCAGGUUGAAGGUGCGGUAACACGUACUGGAGGACCGAACCCACUAACGUUGAAAAGUUAGGGGAUGAGCUGUGGAUAGGGGUGAAAGGCUAAACAAAUCUGGAAAUAGCUGGUUCUCUCCGAAAACUAUUUAGGUAGUGCCUCGUGUCUCACCUUCGGGGGUAGAGCACUGUCAUGGUUGGGGGGUCUAUUGCUGAUUACCCCGCCAUAGCAAACUCCGAAUACCGAAGAGUGCAAUCACGGGAGACAGACAUCGGGUGCUAACGUCCGGUGUCAAGAGGGAAACAACCCAGACCGCCAGCUAAGGUCCCCAAAUAUAGCUAAGUGGGAAACGAAGUGGGAAGGCUAAAACAGUCAGGAGGUUGGCUUAGAAGCAGCCACCCUUUAAAGAAAGCGUAAUAGCUCACUGAUCGAGUCGUCCUGCGCGGAAGAUGUAACGGGGCUAAGCUAUAUACCGAAGCUGCGGACGCACGCAAGUGCGUGGUAGGAGAGCGUUCUGUAAGCCUGUGAAGGUGUCUUGUAAAGGAUGCUGGAGGUAUCAGAAGUGCGAAUGCUGACAUGAGUAGCGAUAAAGGGGGUGAAAGGCCCCCUCGCCGUAAGCCCAAGGUUUCCUACGCAACGUUCAUCGGCGUAGGGUGAGUCGGCCCCUAAGGCGAGGCAGAGAUGCGUAGCUGAUGGGAAGCAGGUUAAUAUUCCUGCACCGUCGUAUGAUGCGAUGGGGGGACGGAUCGCGGAAGGUUGUCCGGGUGUUGGAAGUCCCGGUCCCUGUAGUGGAGAAGGCGCUUAGGCAAAUCCGGGCGCGGAAUUCAAGGCUAUGGGGCGAGCGGCCUAGUGCUGCGAAGCAAUUGGAAGUGGUUCCAAGAAAAGCCUCUAAGCUUCAGUCAUACGAGACCGUACCGCAAACCGACACAGGUGGGCGAGAUGAGUAUUCUAAGGCGCUUGAGAGAACUCGGGAGAAGGAACUCGGCAAAUUGGUACCGUAACUUCGGGAUAAGGUACGCCCUGGUAGCUUGACUGGCCUGCGCCAGAAGGGUGAAGGGGUUGCAAUAAAAUGGUGGCUGCGACUGUUUAAUAAAAACACAGCACUCUGCAAACACGAAAGUGGACGUAUAGGGUGUGACGCCUGCCCGGUGCCGGAAGAUUAAAUGAUGGGGUGCAAGCUCUUGAUUGAAGUCCCGGUAAACGGCGGCCGUAACUAUAACGGUCCUAAGGUAGCGAAAUUCCUUGUCGGGUAAGUUCCGACCUGCACGAAUGGCGUAACGAUGGCCACACUGUCUCCUCCCGAGACUCAGCGAAGUUGAAGUGUUUGUGAUGAUGCAAUCUCCCCGCGGCUAGACGGAAAGACCCCAUGAACCUUUACUGUAGCUUUGCAUUGGACUUUGAACCGAUCUGUGUAGGAUAGGUGGGAGGCUUUGAAGCGUGGACGCUAGUUCACGUGGAGCCGUCCUUGAAAUACCACCCUGGUUUGUUUGAGGUUCUAACCUUGGCCCGUGAAUCCGGGUCGGGGACAGUGCAUGGUAGGCAGUUUGACUGGGGCGGUCUCCUCCCAAAGUGUAACGGAGGAGUUCGAAGGUACGCUUGGUACGGUCGGACAUCGUACCUAAAGUGCAAUGGCAAAAGCGUGCUUAACUGCGAGACCGACAAGUCGAGCAGGUGCGAAAGCAGGACAUAGUGAUCCGGUGGUUCUGAAUGGAAGGGCCAUCGCUCAACGGAUAAAAGGUACUCUGGGGAUAACAGGCUGAUACCGCCCAAGAGUUCAUAUCGACGGCGGUGUUUGGCACCUCGAUGUCGGCUCAUCUCAUCCUGGGGCUGUAGCCGGUCCCAAGGGUAUGGCUGUUCGCCAUUUAAAGAGGUACGUGAGCUGGGUUUAAAACGUCGUGAGACAGUUUGGUCCCUAUCUGCCGUGGGCGUUGGAAUCUUGACGGGGGCUGCUCCUAGUACGAGAGGACCGGAGUGGACGUACCGCUGGUGUACCUGUUGUCUCGCCAGAGGCAUCGCAGGGUAGCUAUGUACGGAAGAGAUAACCGCUGAAAGCAUCUAAGCGGGAAACUCGCCUGAAGAUGAGGAUUCCCUGGAGGCUUGACCUCCUUGAAGGGUCGUUCGAGACCAGGACGUUGAUAGGCUGGGUGUGGAAGCGCAGUAAUGCGUUAAGCUAACCAGUACUAAUUGCCCGUAAGGCUUGAUCCU
rnacentral:rRNA from 1 species